UACAGAGGGGGCAAGCGUUGUUCGGAAUUACUGGGCGUAAAGGGCGCGUAGGCGGACUCUUAAGUCGGUGGUGAAAUCCUGGAGCUCAACUCCAGAACUGCCUUCGAUACUGAGAGUCUCGAGUCCGGGAGAGGUGAGUGGAACUGCGAGUGUAGAGGUGAAAUUCGUAGAUAUUCGCAAGAACACCAGUGGCGAAGGCGGCUCACUGGCCCGGUACUGACGCUGAGGCACGAAAGCGUGGGGAGCAAACAGG
rnacentral:rRNA from 1 species